AGCCAUGCCGCGUGCAGGAAGACUGCCCUAUGGGUUGUAAACUGCUUUUACAGAGGAAGAAUCGCCACUACGUGUAGUGGUUUGACGGUACUCUGCGAAUAAGGAUCGGCUAACUCCGUGCCAGCAGCCGCGGUAAUACGGAGGAUCCAAGCGUUAUCCGGAAUCAUUGGGUUUAAAGGGUCCGUAGGCGGGCAGUUAAGUCAGUGGUGAAAGUCUUCCGCUCAACGGGAGAACUGCCAUUGAUACUGAUUGUCUUGAGUUAUUAUGAAGUGGUUAGAAUGAGUAGUGUAGCGGUGAAAUGCAUAGAUAUUACUCAGAAUACCGAUUGCGAAGGCAGAUCACUAAUAAUAUACUGACGCUGAUGGACGAAAGCGUAGGUAGCGAACAGGAUUAGAUACCCUGGUAGUCUACGCCGUAAACGAUGGUUACUAGCUGUUCGGAUCGAUUGAGAUCUGAGUGGUUAAGCGAAAGUGAUAAGUAACCCACCUGGGGAGUACGUUCGCAAGAAUGAAACUCAAAGGAAUUGACGGGGGCCCGCACAAGCGGUGGAGCAUGUGGUUUAAUUCGAUGAUACGCGAGGAACCUUACCAGGGCUUAAAUGUAGUCUGACAGGGGUGGAAACACCCUUUUCUUCGGACAGAUUACAAGGUGCUGCAUGGUUGUCGUCAGCUCGUGCCGUGAGGUGUCAGGUUAAGUCCUAUAACGAGCGCAACCCCUGUGGUUAGUUGCCAGCGAGUAAUGUCGGGAACUCUAGCCAGACUGCCGGUGCAAACCGCGAGGAAGGUGGGG
rnacentral:rRNA from 1 species